UACGUAGGGGGCAAGCGUUGUCCGGAAUCAUUGGGCGUAAAGCGCGUGUAGGCGGUUCGGUAAGUCCGCUGUGAAAGUCGGGGGCUCAACCCUCGGAUGCCGGUGGAUACUGUCGAGCUUGAGUACGGAAGAGGCGAGUGGAAUUCCUGGUGUAGCGGUGAAAUGCGCAGAUAUCAGGAGGAACACCGGUGGCGAAGGCGGGUCUCUGGGCCGAUACUGACGCUGAGGAGCGAAAGCGUGGGGAGCAAACAGG
rnacentral:rRNA from 1 species